UGGCGGACGGGGUGAGUAACGCGUGGAAAACCUGCCGUAUACUGGGGGAUAACACUUAGAAAUAGGUGCUAAUACCGCAUAAGCGCACAGCUUCGCAUGAAGCGGUGUGAAAAACUCUGGUGGUAUACGAUGGUUCCGCGUCUGAUUAGCUAGUUGGUGGGGUAAUGGCCUACCAAGGCAACGAUCAGUAGCCGGCCUGAGAGGGUGAACGGCCACAUUGGGACUGAGACACGGCCCAAACUCCUACGGGAGGCAGCAG
rnacentral:rRNA from 1 species